CUUGGUGGCACUUCCAGCUGGGUCACACCCGUUCCCAUCCCGAACACGGUCGUUAAGCCAGUCUGGGCCGAUGGUAGUCAGGUUUGGCGAGAGUAGGUCGCCGCCAGGA
rnacentral:rRNA from 1 species